UAUUUGUCCCCUCGCAAAAAUCAGCCGUGAACCCGGUCAGGCCCGGAAGGGAGCAGCCGCAGCGGUGACAUUUUGUGCCGAGGUCAGGCGGGUAAAG
rnacentral:SRP_RNA from 1 species